rnacentral:rRNA from 1 species
UGGGGAAUAUUGCACAAUGGAGGGAACUCUGAUGCAGCGACGCCGCGCGAGUGAUGAAGGAAUUCGUUUCGUAAAACUCUGUUCUAUGGGAAGAACAGGACUGUACCAUAGGAGAAAGCUCCGGCUAAAUACGUGCCAGCAGCCGCGGUAAUACGUAUGGAGCGAGCGUUGUCCGGAAUCAUUGGGCGUAAAGGGUGCGCAGGCGGCUUUACAAGUUGGAUGUGAAAUAUUGUGGCUCAACCACAAACGUGCAUCCAAAACUGCAAAGCUUGAGUUAAGGAGAGGUAAGUGGAAUUCCUGGUGUAGCGGUGGAAUGCGUAGAUAUCAGGAGGAAUACCGGUGGCGAAGGCGACUUACUGGACUUAAACUGACGCUCAGGCACGAAAGCGUGGGGAGCAAACAGG